UAGUUCUGUAUAGCUGUCGUGUUUCAUCAGGUCUGGUUUCACCUAGUUAUGUAUAGCUGUCGUGUUUCAUCAGGUCUGGUUUCACCUAGUUAUGUAUAGCUGUUGAAUGAGUCUCACCUGAUGUCCCCAGGUGUGAAUGAGUCUCACCCGAUGUCCCCAGGUGUGAAUGAGUCUCACCUGAUGUCCCCAGGUGUGAAUGAGUCUCGGAUGAGAACCAGAAGUGUUUCGGCUGACUGAUCUAGAAUCAGCUUCCUCCCCUCCAGUCCUAACGGCCACCAUUAGAGGGGUGAUAUAUAACUGACCAUAAGACUGAUCUAGAAUCAGCUUCCUCUCCUCCAGUCCUAACGGCCACCAUUAGAGGGGUGAUAUAUAACUGACCAUAAGACUGAUCCAGGACCAGUGUUAAACAGAGCUGAAUGUCUGGUUCACACCAUUUUGAUGCUGAUUUAUUGUUAUUAUAAUGACAUUAAAUUGUUGAAUGUUUCUGUCGA